rnacentral:misc_RNA from 1 species
GAUGAAGAACGCAGCGAAAUGCGAUAAGUAGUGUGAAUUGCAGAAUUCAGUGAAUCAUCGAAUCUUUGAACGCACAUUGCGCCCCUUGGUAUCCCGAGGGGCAUGCCUGUUCGAGCGUCAUUUGUACCUUCAAGCUCUGCUUGGUGUUGGGUGUUUGUCUCGCCUUUGCGUGUAGACUCGCCUCAAAACAAUUGGCAGCCGGCGUAUUGAUUUCGGAGCGCAGUACAUCUCGCGCUUUGCACUCAUAACGACGACGUCCAAAAAGUACAUUUUUACACUCUUGACCUCGGAUCAGGUAGGGAUACCCGCUGAACUUAAGCAUAUCAAUAAGCGGAGGA